CCCAAGAAGUUUUUCUCUUUUCUUUUCAAGCACCCGUGAGAAGCUUAUUGGAGACCCAAAUUUGAUAAGGGCACCCAGCUGCUAUUUUUGCUCGUCGACUUUUUCUUUUCUUCUUAUUUUUCCUUUUCUCCUCGGCCAUUCUGCUUCUCCCUUUUCACCGCCUCGCACUGCCGUAUCAGAACACUACGAGCUUGGCGCUAAGCUUUUACCAAGUGAAAUUGGAUAUGGAUUUGAAGAGGUAACUUGAUCUGGAGAUGGAAGCACGCAUGGGUCUUCAACUAGAAGGAGUUUCUCAACUCUUGAAGCUCGAACUUUGCUGUAUUGCUUCUUCCUGUGAGAAAUUGGCUUUCUUCAAAAUUUCGGGGCAUUUCUUUUGGUGUCUGCAUAUUCUUCCACUUACUUUGCUGGGAUUGCAUUUUGUGAUUCUCUCCUGAACACUUGGUGAGCUGGGAUUGCAUUUCGUGCUUCUCUCCUGAAUGCCUGGUGAGCACUAAGACGGGCAUAUCCACUUGAACGUGCCUUCCCAAAAAGUGAGUUGUUGCCAUGGCAUAUAAUUCAAUUAUCAAAGUUCAAUUGAUUUAUAUUUGUCUGCAACACCACCGCUUGGUCUCCUUGUUUUAUACCGGUGCUUGUCUUUU